UAAAGAAUUCGUGUAACAUUUGGGGGUUUCAUCAAAUGAGAAACUUAAUUGAUCAAUACAUAAAUCGAAUUUAUUUGAGCUACGUAAAGUUUGGUGGCAACCAAUGUACAUAUGAUGUUGCACUGAUGCUCAUAGGCCACGGGAGAUGGAUGAGAUCAAAGCUGGUAUACGUGUUCCCUCUAUGAGGCGUUUGGGGCGUAAAAGGAGGAAUUCCUCGGAAAAUAGGACGUGAUAAUGAACAAGAAAUUGUGAGCCUAUUGAUACUGAAGUCCCUUAUUGUCAAUGGCAACAACAAUGAAAAAAUAAAGCAUCAUCAAAUAUAGCAAGACUGGUCAAUUUCCAUUAUUGAUGUAACUGGAAGUAUUGUUGCUACUA